rnacentral:lncRNA from 10 species
GACAAAGCUGAACGAAUACAGGCAACCAUUGGAUAAUAUCGCUGCCACUCCAGCCAACGGAAAGCCGCCUUUAAGUAGGGUCGCGAAGGAAGGCGCUGCCUCGCGUUGGAGGAGCUUGCUCUGAGCUGCUGCCACCUGCUGGGCUGGAGCUGGAGCUGGAGCUGCGAAUUCGGAGUCCCGGUUCCCUGUGCCACCUGGCGAGCUCAGCAAACUAAAAGUCUCUUUGUCUUCAUCGUUUCCGGCACUGAUGUGAGCACAUCAUAAGCACAAGACCUGGACACCUUUACAAUCAGAGGGCCUAGGACUGGAGCUCUGGAUCUGACCGGAGCAAAGAGGAAGCACGCAAAUCCGGACAUGACGACGAGGAGGCAGUAGAGACCCAUCCUCAACUGUGCCCUUGUUGAGCUGCUUGAGGCAGAAGGCACAGACGAAGUGCUCGGGGUGGAACUUCUUGGCCAUGGCGGUGAUGCAGCGGCCGGUGAUGGGCUUCUGGCAGCCAGAACACAGCGAGCCGCGCCGCUCGUGGUAGUGCACCUCACAGUAGGGCUGCCCGUCGUGCUCGAAGAAGCUGCCGUUCACGAAUGGCGUGAAGCAUUCCUGCCAGGCGGAGAGAGGGGCUCAGGGAGCUGCCCCUCGGGCUAGAGCUGCACCCUGUGUGAUGGGGCCGAGGUGGGCAUAGUCGGCACGCUCGGAGUGACUCCUACUUGCUAGGCGUUUCCCAUGUGCCGUGUUGUCCUAAACGCUCAUUUUUCAUUUUUAUUUUAUUAAAUAAAUUUUUUUUGUAGAGAUGGGGGUCUCACUAUAUUGCCCAUGCUGGUCAAAUGUGGCCUCCUGCAAUCCUCCCACCUCGGCCUCCCACAGGGCUGGGAUUAUUUAGUUCUCCCAACAGGGGAGGCAACUGAAGCACACAGGUGAAGUAACUUGCCCAGGGUCAUGCAGCUACUGAGGUCACAGCCUGGAUUCAUACACAGGUCUGACUCCUGAGCACUUAGCCAGGUGGCUGUAACAGUGUUCCCAGAAACACAGGUGUGACACUGGUCUGUAGUCAAACUCUGCCUCCUAGAUUCUCAUUGGAGAUUCACAUCACAUAUAGGUAGAAAAGGCUCUGAGAGGGGCCGGGUGAGGUGGCUCACACUUGUAAUCCCAGCACUUUGGGAGGCCAAGGGAGGCGGAUCACCUGAGGUCAGGAGUUCAAGACCAGCUUGGCCAACAUGGUGAAACCCCGUCUCUACUGAAAAUACAAAAAAUUAGCCAGGCAUGGGGGCGUGUGCCUGUAAUCUCAGCUACUUGGGAGGCUGAGGCGGGAGAAUCACUGGAACUCAGCAGGCAGAGGUUGCAGUCAGCCAAGAUCGUGCCACUGCACACCAGUCUGGGCAACAGAGUGAGACUCCGUCUCAAAAAAAGAAAAGAAAAGAAAAGGCUCUGAGAAGUCCUGCAGGGAACAGUGUUUCCCAAACUCAUUUGGUCAGAGAGCCCUUGUUGAAUCAUUAAUAACCCCUGUGGGGCCCCCAGAAUGCAGUGGUUUUGGAAACCACUGCCCAUUUCUGUUGAGUCUGCUAAAUACUUGCAUUAUCUCAUUUAGUUCUCACACACUCUCCUCCCAAAUAGGAAUGGCCCAGGGCCGCUGCACAGGGCUGGACUGGGGGACAUGUCUACCUUGCUCCUGGUUUGUCCCAGCCUCAGUACAAACCCUGGCCCAGGACCUACUGGACUGGAGGAAGGAGAUCCCCUGCCUGCUCCCCCAAUUAAUAACCCCAAAUGAGGCCUCUGAGUUGGAUCCAGACAGCACAAUGAGGAAGACCCCUCUCUCCCCACUGCCUGCUCCUCGCCCCUCCAGAUGUGGUCAGGGGCUCCUUACCCGGCACACAAAGCACUCAGGAUGCCACAGCGUGUUGAGGGCUGA